AUGCCGAUGCAAAUUACUCUGCCUAGUCAGUACUCAGUAGCCAGUGAAAUUGUUGAACAAUUAUUAUCUUGUUUCCCAAAGGUUGCCGUCAAUGAUCCGCUCAGGAAAUGGAUGGACAACUGCUACCGCGGGGUACCCCUCAGCGGACUAGGGAAGCAUAGGGAGAAGCUACCGAGGGCAUUCGUUUCGCAUCCUGGCGGGAAGAGCUACUCGACGGUGUUGAAACUGGUCAGGAGACUUUCUGCAUGCGAGACAAUGGGUUCUGCAACAACAAUCUGCAGUGAAAAGACUGGAACAUUAACUUUAAAUCAGGCAUACUUUGGUGGUGAGAAGAUGGAUCCUCCAGAUAACACUCAGAAGCUAUCUGCUGCUGUAUCAACAAUGAUUAUUGAAGGAACUGCUCAGAAUACAUCUGGAAGCAUAUUUGAGCCGGAGGCUGCUUCUAGUGCUCGUGCCACGGCAUUCACCGCCACCACUCCAGACCGUUCACCAUCACCUCACGAGUUCGUUGAACAACGGAGGGGGCGUCAUGCUGCGGGUGGACAUGGUGUUGCGCUAGGGUCCUUGAUAGUUAGGGCUCCUUCAUAG
rnacentral:rRNA from 1 species